rnacentral:rRNA from 1 species
UACGUAGGGCGCAAGCGUUAUCCGGAAUUAUUGGGCGUAAAGAGCUCGUAGGCGGCUUGUCGCGUCGACUGUGAAAACCCGUGGCUCAACCAUGUGGUCUGCAGUCGAUACGGGCAGGCUAGAAUUCGGUAGGGGAGACUGGAAUUCCUGGUGUAGCGGUGAAAUGCGUAGAUAUCUGGAGGAACACCGGUGGCGAAGGCGGCAUCCUGGACCGGUAUUGACGCUGAGGCGCGAAAGCCAGGGGAGCAAACGGG